UACAGAGGUCCCGAGCGUUGUUCGGAUUCACUGGGCGUAAAGGGUGCGUAGGUGGCGAGGAAAGUCGGAUGUGAAAGCUCGGAGCUCAACUCCGAAAUGGCAUUGGAAACUACCUUGCUCGAGGGUUGGAGGGGGGACUGGAAUUCUCGGUGUAGCAGUGAAAUGCGUAGAUAUCGAGAGGAACACCAGUGGCGAAGGCGAGUCCCUGGACAACUCCUGACACUGAGGCACGAAAGCUAGGGGAGCAAACAGG
rnacentral:rRNA from 1 species